UGGGGAAUUUUGGACAAUGGGCGAAAGCCUGAUCCAGCAAUGCCGCGUGUGUGAAGAAGGCCUUCGGGUUGUAAAGCACUUUUGUCCGGAAAGAAAUCCUUGGCUCUAAUACAGUCGGGGGAUGACGGUACCGGAAGAAUAAGCACCGGCUAACUACGUGCCAGCAGCCGCGGUAAUACGUAGGGUGCAAGCGUUAAUCGGAAUUACUGGGCGUAAAGCGUGCGCAGGCGGUUUGCUAAGACCGAUGUGAAAUCCCGGGCUCAACCUGGGAACUGCAUUGGUGGCUGGCAGGCUAGGAGUAUGGCAGAGGGGGGUAGAAUUCCACGUGUAGCAGUGAAAUGCGUAGAGAUGUGGAGGAAUACCGAUGGCGAAGGCAGCCCCUGGGCCAAUACUGACGCUCAUGCACGAAAGCGUGGGGAGCAAACAGGAUUAGAUACCCUGGGAUAGUCCACGCCCUAAACGAUGUC
rnacentral:rRNA from 1 species